GAUGAUGAAAGAAAAAAUAACUGAUUAGUCUUUCUAUUAUAAAAUAGAGUAUAGGCAUUAUUUUUUUCUUCUAAAA
rnacentral:pre_miRNA from 1 species